rfam:Scleropages formosus scaffold1071, whole genome shotgun sequence.
UCCAUGAGAUGCUCAGUAGUCAGUGUAGAUCCUGUGUUACACUCAGCAGCUACAUCUGGCUACUGGGUCUCUGAUGGUCCCC